AAUGCAUANGAAUCUGCCCGGUAGUGGGGGAUAACCUGGGGAAACCCAGGCUANUACCGCAUACNUCCUACGGGAGAAAGCGGGGGACCUUCGGGCCUCGCGCUNUCNGAUGAGCCUAUGUCGGAUUANCUGGUUGGUGAGGUAACGGCUCACCAAGGCGACGAUCCGUAGCUGGUCUGAGAGGAUGAUCANCCACACUGGGACUGAGACACGGCCCANACUCCUACGGGAGGCAGCNGUGGGGAAUAUUGGACNAUGGGGGCAACCCUGAUCCAGCCAUGCCGCGUGUGUGAANAANGNUUUCGGGUUGUNAAGCACUUUCAGUGGGGAAGAAGGCCUGCGGGUUAAUAGCCGGCNGGGACGACAUCNCCCACAGAANAAGCACCGGCUAACUCCGUGCCAGCNGCCGCGGUAAUACGGAGGGUGCGAGCGUUAAUCNGAAUUACUGGNCGUAAAGCGCGCNUAGGCGGCGUGAUAANCCGGUUGUGAAAGCCCCGGGCUCAACCUGGGAACGGCAUCCGGAACUGUCAGGCUAGAGUGCAGGAGAGGAAGGUAGAAUUCCCGGUGUAGCGGUGAAAUGCGUANAGAUCGGGANGAAUACCAGUGGCGAAGGCGGCCUUCUGGACUGACACUGACGCUG
rnacentral:rRNA from 1 species